CUCAACUGGGAAGCUUCCUACGUGGUUAUGCCUGGAACAGGGGUCACAGCGUGGGUCCUGAGGAGGCUCUGAGGUUGAGCUCAGUUCAGAGAUGAUGCUUUCCCCAAAACCAGUUCACCAGAGGAGAUGUCAUGGUAGUGAUGUUCCCCAAGAGACCAGAGACCAGAGACCAGAUCGACAUAGGAAGAAGUACAUUGCUGUGUGUUUGUAACUCAGGC